rnacentral:rRNA from 1 species
CCUACGGGAGACAACAGUGGGGAAUCUUCCACAAUGGGCGAAAGCCUGAUGGAGCAACGCCGCGUGGGUGAAGAAGGUCUUCGGAUCGUAAAACCCUGUUGUUAGAGAAGAAAGUGCGUGAGAGUAACUGUGCACGUGUCGACGGGAUCUAACCAGAAAGCCACGGCUAACUACGUGCCAGCAGCCGCGGUAAUACGUGGGUGGCAAGCGUUAUCCGGAUUUGUUGGGCGUAAAGGGAACGCAGGCGGUCUUUUAAGUCUGAUGUGAAAGCCCUCGGCUUAACCGGAGUAGUGCAUUGGAAACUGGGAGACUUGAGUGGAGAAGAGGAGAGUGGAACGCCAUGUGUAGCGGUGAAAUGCGUAGAUAUAUGGAAGAACACCAGUGGCGAAAGUGGCUCUCUGGUCUGUAACUGACGCUGAGGUUCGAAAGCGUGGGUAGCAAACAGGAUUAGAUACCCCUGUAGUC